AGGACUAGCCAGACUUAUAAUUAGUGAUGAUUUACAAGUCAUGCCUGCAGUAACAUCAGUAAGCUCUUCUUUGUUGAUGAAGCCUGGGGUCAUGGAUUCAAAUACUAUUGAGGAGGUGACUUUGGACAUUGGAGUUGAUGAGGUUGUCAAUUUGCUUAUGUGCUCAUUUAUAUCAAAAUCACCUCUGACUGAUGUUCUUCUACAGCAUAGACCAUUAGCAAACUUGAA